rnacentral:rRNA from 1 species
UAUACGACCGUACCGCAAACCGUCACUGGUGCGCGAGAUGAGUAUUCUAAGGCGCUUGAGAGAACUCAGGAGAAGGAACUCGGCAAAUUGACACCGUAACUUCGGAAGAAGGUGUGCCCUAUUAGUGUGUAGUGAACAACGAAGCAUGAAUGGGUUGCAAAAAAUCGGUGGCUGCGACUGUUUAUUAAAAACACAGCACUCUGCAAACACGAAAGUGGACGUAUAGGGUGUGACGCCUGCCCGGUGCUGGAAGAUUAAAUGAUGGGGUGCAAGCUCUUGAUUGAAGUCCCAGUAAACGGCGGCCGUAACUAUAACGGUCCUAAGGUAGCGAAAUUCCUUGUCGGGUAAGUUCCGACCUGCACGAAUGGCGUAACGAUGGCCACACUGUCUCCUCCUGAGACUCAGCGAAGUUGAAAUGUUUGUGAUGAUGCAAUCUCCCCGCGGAAAGACGGAAAGACCCCAUGAACCUUUACUGUAGCUUUGUAUUGGACUUUGAACAGAUCUGUGUAGGAUAGGUGGGAGGCUUUGAAGCAGGGUCGCUAGAUCUUGUGGAGCCAACGUUGAAAUACCACCCUGGUGUGUUUGAGGUUCUAACCUAGGUCCAUUAUCUGGAUCGGGGACAGUGCAUGGUAGGCAGUUUGACUGGGGCGGUCUCCUCCCAAAGCGUAACGGAGGAGUUCGAAGGUACGCUAGUUACGGUCGGACAUCGUGACGAUAGUGCAAUGGCAUAAGCGUGCUUAACUGCGAGACUGACAAGUCGAGCAGAUGCGAGAGCAGGACAUAGUGAUCCGGUGGUUCUGUAUGGAAGGGCCAUCGCUCAACGGAUAAAAGGUACUCUGGGGAUAACAGGCUGAUACCGCCCAAGAGUUCAUAUCGACGGCGGUGUUUGGCACCUCGAUGUCGGCUCAUCUCAUCCUGGGGCUGUAGCCGGUCCCAAGGGUAUGGCUGUUCGCCAUUUAAAGAGGUACGUGAGCUGGGUUUAAAACGUCGUGAGACAGUUUGGUCCCUAUCUUCCGUGGGCGCUGCAGAUUUGAGGAAGCCUGCUCCUAGUACGAGAGGACCGGAGUGGACACACCUCUGGUGUAUCGGUUGUCACGCCAGUGGCAUUGCCGAGUAGCUAAGUGUGGAAGAGAUAACCGCUGAAAGCAUCUAAGCGGGAAACUCGUUUCAAGAUGAGAUCUGCCGGGGCCUUGAGCCCCCUAAAGAGUCGUUCAAGACCAGGACGUUGAUAGGUCAGGUGUGGAAGC